CAGUUGGCUCAUGGGUGGCCAGUUCACAACUCUUACAAUCACCUUGCUUUACAGAUGGGGAAACAGAGCCAGAGAGCAUGCCGGGAAGUGGGUAGCGUAUGGCAGUGUUAGAGCCCACGUCUUCUGAAGUCCACUCUUCUUCCCAGCACACCGUGAAACUUUGGCACAUUUCCCUUUGAAGUUCCACUGCAUUUAUUCCAGAAGAAAGGAGUUUAUUCACCCAGACAAAAGUAUACACUGAAAUGUCUAAGGUGUCCUCGCAAGUGGCAAAAAUUGAGGCUGGACAUUUCCCCUGGCCCAGUGGACAGCUACUGUGCUGGCCAGGUUCUGCAACCUUCCUUGCUAGGAGAAAGGAUAAAGAAAGAGAAGUUGAAAAAUCCUGUAUCAGAAAAGAAGUUCAUGGGCUAUGGGAACCAAUUUGGGGUUACCUCUGGGGAAUUAGAGAUGUUUGCUGUGCAUGUUUCCUGGAGGAUCAAAUUGCAACUGUAAGUAAAUGUUUGAGGAUCCACGUGAACAGAGGACUGAGAAGAGAAACAAGGCAGGCUCUUAGUGCCUCAGUGCACUUUCCUUUUCUCAUCAUCCACUAAAUUAUGAAUUUAAUGAAGUUACUCAGAUACCUA
rnacentral:lncRNA from 1 species